NNNNNNNNNNNNNNNNNNNNNNNNNNNNNNNNNNNNNNNNNNNNNNNNNNNNNNNNNNNNNNNNNNNNNNNNGCUUCCAGAGGUGCUGUCCCUUCCGGCCGGCGGAGGAUCCGUUUCCUCGCGUACAAGGAGCAGGAGCUGCUGGAGUGGCACAUCACGAGGAAACGCCAAGCGAUGGAGGAAACCCUCAGCCGGUCAAGCCCAGGGCCCCGCCAUGCCUGCCCUCCACCCGUGCCUUCCCCUGCAGAGGCACUCCCUUCCCUCCUCAUCGGCCCGUCCAAAAGCCGGACCAGCCUCAAGAAAUGGACCGAGGGCCAAAUGGAAAGUGGCGAACAGAAGAUCCUCCGACGGAGUAGGGCUAAGACUGCCCUAGCAGAGCUGCCCCCGGUGAAUAGGGGGCCCCCUGAGCGACGGAGCCCUGCUCCGCUCCCCAUCUUGGAGGCUGCCGCCAUCCCCCAGAAGCCUCUGGAGUUGCCGUUGGUUGCUGCCGCACACGUUGAGGUGUGCCAGGAAACCCACCAAUGCUUGCAGGCGUCUCCCAAGCCUUGCGUCCUUGUGGAGACCCGGGAGGAGGAACGAGCCACCCUGGAACUCCAUCUGCCACUGGCCAGGAGCCCCUUCCCCCCUGGGCCGCCUCCUUCUCCUCCUCCCCCUCCUGCCAAAGGCAUCCCUUCAGAAGAGUACCCCGUCUGCUUGCACUGUGGCCAAGGCACCCCGAUCUGCCCGCCCCGUCGCCUGCAGCACAGCCCUCGCCUGAUGAUCAACCCGCAGCUGACGGUGCAGGAAGGGGAGGGCCAUAUAAGCGUGGGAUUCCAACUGAGGAUCGAGGAGGCCGGGUCCAGCGAGGGGGGACCGGUGCCAGGGAAGGAUGCCUGCCAGGGGCAGCCAGGCAAAGACUGGCCCUCCAAGCCCAAAAGGGCCAGGGGCAGGAGCAGACCCUCAAAGAGUCAGACCACAAAGCCCAAGCCUCGGGGCCCAGAGAGGACACCCUGGCUGGCCGGGCAGCGUUCCCCACAGGGCAUUCCCCCAGGGCCCGGAGGCCACAAGGAUGCUCCUGAAGCGGCAAAGGUCAGCUCUGCACCUGCUCCCAGGUCUCCCACGAAACCAGGGAAAGCACAAAUGCACUCCCGGUCUACAAAGCCCAUCCUGGGGAGAGAAGGACCCCUCCAACCCGAGGCUCCCCAGGAGUGCCCCAACAACUUCAAAUGCCUGGUGCUCUGCCUCAAGGGAGUCUCGGCUGAAUUACAGAAGAAGAAGCAGAAGAAGCAGAAGAGACCCCCUCCAAGCAGAAUCCUGCGGCUGCCUCGCCGAAGUUGGCGUCGCGCUCUGAAACGAAAGAGUCCCCUUCGGUGUCCUUUGAGAAUGAAGAUGAGGAAGGGCUUUUGAUUCCUCCCCUAGAAAGAGGGAAGUGGGCUUCACAGAAUACUCGCUUCUCCUGGGACUUCAAGGAGACCUAGAUGGAAACCUUCCUCCAUCAACUUCCUAGAAAGCCUCUCCAAGAAAAGGACUAGCAAAGCUCAACGGAGCCCCUAAU
rnacentral:lncRNA from 1 species